rnacentral:rRNA from 1 species
UGGAGCGUGUGGUUUAAUUCGAUGCUACGCGAAAAACCUUACCAGGGUUUGACAUGUGGGUGGUAGGAAACCGAAAGGUGACCGACUCUUCGGAGAGCCUUCACAGGUGCUGCAUGGCUGUCGUCAGCUCGUGUCGUGAGACGUUCGGUUAAGUCCGCUAACGAGCGCAACCCUCGUCGUGUGUUACAAGUGUCACGCGAGACCGCCGGUGUCAAGCCGGAGGAAGGUGAGGAUGACGUCAAGUCAGCAUGGCCUUUAUAUCUUGGGC